AGCUUCUUAGCGCAGUGGAAGCGCGCGGGGCUCAUACCAUUAUCUAAUGGCUUGUUACCCCGAGGUCCUCGGAUCGAGACCGAGAGAAGCUA